CGAGUCUGUAGCUCAGCUGGAUAGAGCAACGGCCUUCUAAGCCGUAGGUCGAGGGUUCGAAUCCCCCCAGGCUCGG
rnacentral:tRNA from 2 species